AGGUGCAGUGUGGCCAGGAUGAAGAGGAACAACAAGGAGCCCGGUACAAGGAUGGGCCCCAGAACACCCAACACCUAACAAGUGGAUUUCUAUGCAGAAAGGAUUGUUGGUGAACCUGGUGACAGGUAGAGACAGGAUUAGAUCCACACUCCA
rnacentral:sRNA from 1 species